AGUGCACCGAGCGGUAACGGAGCGCACUGGCUUCUCUCUGUGGAUAUCGGGUGAUGAUUUACAAUGACAUUGAUGUUCUGCUUACUGCUUCAUGCCGCUGUCUCUCUGGGGAAUUCACUGGCAGAUCGUCAGACAGUUGGGAGUGGAUGUUAUGGAAAAGAUUUCAGCAUGACCCUCACUGAGGACCCCGUUCCUGAAAUGGUCACUGUAUAUUUCACUCCUAGCGCCAGGUCUAGUCCCCAAAAACUGCUGCUGGACAAAGGGAAGCUAAAAGAUCCUAGGUACACAGUUGUGUCCAACUCUUCAGGAGCCUACUUGGAGGUGCAAAAGCUGAUGGAGGAGGACCAGGGCAUUUUUUCAGUGUGGUUCAGCAGUGAAGAUAUGAACAAUAAGACUCUCACACUCACCGUGGCAGAGUGCUCAGUUGAAGAGUAUCUGGACUACGGACAAAAUUUCUCCAUUGUGCUCGUUGGUGAUAUUUUGGAGUUCACCAGAGAGGGUGUGGUGUCAGAUCUGGUGGUUCUGUGGAACAGCAGCAGUCCAACAGUGGAUGUGAAGAACAGGGGCCGGGUGGCAGCUGGAUGUUGGCUGAAAGAGAGUGUGACCCAGUCCGAUCAGGGCAACUACACCCUCAGAAGGAGAAGUGGGAAGCUCAUGUCCACCAUAGUCCUCACUGUUGUCGAGGCAAAAGAAUCCAGCAUUCUGAAGAUGGAGGAGGAUCUGGAAAUAGACCUGCCCUUCAGACUGCCCACAGUCACGCUCCUUUUCCAGCCCAUAGCUGCUAAAUGCAAUGUAAACAGUGUGAGCAGGCCCCGCGUCCUGGUGCGGGAUGGGACACUCGUUCCAGAGGAGAAGCAGAGCUACGAAAAGAGGCUGGUGCUCUCCAGCUCUCAGAUCGUCCUAAAGGGAAUUCAGAUUUCAGACUUGGGCUCCUAUUACAUCUAUGACCCUCAAGGCAACCUGGCUCUCUCCGUGGACCUGGACAUUGACGUGCCAUCUGAUGCAGCUCUAUUUGCCCUCCUGGCCGGAACAGUGUUCCUGGCGAUGAUGAUGUGUUGCUACGGCAAAGGCUGCUGCUGUCACAAAGGCAAGAGACAAGCGGUGGCACAGACAUCUGGUGCUUGAGGAUGGAGCAGUGUGAACAUCUGUAAAAGUGUGUGUGUGUGUGUGUGUGCGUGGCUGGUGGGUUUGUAAAUGUUACCUCUGGAUUCCAUUUGAUGUUCUGAAAUCAAUGACGUUACAUGGGACUGACUAAUGCCCAAUCCCAAAAGUGCUGCCAAAAGUGCUGCCAUGAAGACUGAGUGGACCGAGCUGUCCACGGCCCAGUACAGUUACCGUGGUACCACAGGGACCACCGGUCUCCAUCCCACUCAGGAAUCAAUAACUGAUUGCUAUCUUAAGGACAGAGGAAAAUUCUCCCUCACUAACAAAGUUUCUCAUGGAUCUGUGAUGCAAUUUCCCUCGUGAAGAGCAGGAGAGGGGAGCUGCUCCUCUGCAGCAAGGUGAUUGACGUUUCAAAAAGAUGACAUUUGACUGAAUUAGGUUGUUUUUCUCCCCCUCCUGCCUCCUGUCCCUUUUUGUUUACCUCCUUCUGCUAUUUUGGGGCUUUUUUUAAAUUUCUUUACAAAGGUCUGUUACUGCCUCCAUGUGCAGUUUAAGAAUGCAACUCAUGUCUGCCUGGACUGGGGUCCUAUUGUGUUCUUCAAACCCAAAUCAAAUGAAAGCAAAUAAGUCAAGGCAACAGCUUGUUCCUAUUUCUUUAGAAAAAGUAGAAAAAUCAACCUGCAAGUACUGGGACUUAAGCAACAAUUAUGUCCUCUUGCUUUUAUAUCUUGAUUACCAGUAACAGGGUAUUGUACCUGGUACUGUGUAAAUUAUUCCAGCAUGCUUAUUAUUCUAAAUAUAUAAAUGAAAUAGCAUAAAUAUGUUCUGAAUAGGCUAUACUCUUCAAAUCAUUGACAUUCAAUGACUCUUCAUAUUACAGCAUAUUGUAAGGUAAAUGAGGGCAAGUAUAUUAUUAAAGUCUGUGCCAGCAUCUCUUCUUUUACCUGAUGGCAGAUGUGUGUGUUGUCUGUGACAUAGAUAAUACACAUCCUGUAUUAUUUGUUUGCAUAUAUGUUUGAUA
ensembl:lncRNA uncharacterized LOC114796984